CUAAGGCUAAAUACUCUCUAGUGACCGAUAGUGAACCAGUACCGUGAGGGAAAGGUGAAAAGCACCCCGGAAGGGGAGUGAAAUAGAACCUGAAACCGUGUGCUUACAAGUAGUCAGAGCCCGUUAAUGGGUGAUGGCGUGCCUUUUGUAGAAUGAACCGGCGAGUUACGAUUUGAUGCAAGGUUAAGCAGUAAAUGUGGAGCCGUAGCGAAAGCGAGUCUGAAUAGGGCGUUUAGUAUUUGGUCGUAGACCCGAAACCAGGUGAUCUACCCUUGGUCAGGUUGAAGUUCAGGUAACACUGAAUGGAGGACCGAACCGACUUACGUUGAAAAGUGAGCGGAUGAACUGAGGGUAGCGGAGAAAUUCCAAUCGAACCUGGAGAUAGCUGGUUCUCUCCGAAAUAGCUUUAGGGCUAGCCUCAAGUGAUGAUUAUUGGAGGUAGAGCACUGUUUGGACGAGGGGCCCCUCUCGGGUUACCGAAUUCAGACAAACUCCGAAUGCCAAUUAAUUUAACUUGGGAGUC
rnacentral:rRNA from 1 species